rnacentral:rRNA from 1 species
CCUACGGGUGGCAGCAGUGGGGAAUAUUGGGCAAUGGGCGCAAGCCUGCCCCAGUAACGCCGCGUGAAGGAAGAAGGCCCUCGGGUUGUAAACUUCUUUUAACAGGGACGAAGAACGUGACGGUACCUGUUGAAUAAGCCACGGCUAACUACGUGCCAGCAGCCGCGGUAAUACGUAGGUGGCAAGCGUUAUCCGGAUUUACUGGGUGUAAAGGGCGUGUAGGCGGGAGAGCAAGUCAGACGUGAAAUUUCAGGGCUCAACCCUGGAACUGCGUUUGAAACUGUUCUUCUAGAGUUGGAGAGAAGUAUGCGGAAUUCGUGGUGUAGCGGUGAAAUGCAUAGAUAUCACGAAGAACUCCGAUUGCGAAGGCAGCAUACCGACUCCAUACUGACGCUGAGGCACGAAAGCGUGGGGAUCGAACAGGAUUAGAUACCCGAGUAGUC